CAGGAUUUGAAAAUAUCAGUGUGAAACAAUUUAUGUCUGACCGUUCUUGGUUUCCAGAUCAAAGGGUCUGACAAAUGUUUUUUUAUCAUCCCCCCCCCCCCCCCCCCCCAUCUGGUGUUAAGGAGCCUUUGAAGCAGCUCAAAUACAUUUUUCACAAGUUGGCAUGCUUUAUUAGGGUCUCAUGAAAUGUCUGUAACACAUUUUGCUUAGAAACACUCAAUAGCUGUGUAAACAACACCCUUUUUGCCUUGUCAAAAACAGCUCUGCUCACACCAACCCUUUCUGGUGUAUGUCUCUUUAAAUGUUAAUGAGUUACUGCACACUCCAUCCCCCUUCCCAGAUUUCCACUAAAAAUAAAAUAAAUCCACUCCUCUCUUGUCUCCACUGAGGCUGGGACUCUAAAUAAUGAUUUGUGUUUGUCUCUGCAGCCAACGAUAGAACAGUUAGCAUGUUUUCCACAAACUUUUGCCAUGGCAUCAGAUUAUUGGCCGGUAAUAUUAUAAUAAGAACACCUUCCUACAGUACGUCAGAAUGGGCGAGCAAUCUAACUGGCUCAUUUUCUCACAUGCUUGCAGAGAAAGGCUUAUGAAACCAAACUUACUGGGUUCUUCUUUUUCAUGUUUUCUGAGUUCAAUUCAUUCAAUUAUAGCACUUAAAAAGUCAAAUUUUCAUCCGAUGAGUCCUUUAAAGAGUUCAUAUGAUGCAAUUUCAAAUUUUCCUUUCUCUUUGGAGUGUUACACGCUGUUCGUGCAUAGCUCACUAGGUUUCAGAUCAGAGCUGAAGGAAGGAGACUAAACAGAGAGAGGAAGAGAGGAAGGGAGACACACAAAGAGGAUCAGAGCAGCGUUAGACGACCCGUGUGUGAGAGAGACUUUGACAGGAAGUUCAGGCCCCUAGAGGUUCCUGUGUACCCCGAGAGAGAAAGCAGACGCUUCAGCCUCCUCUCUUCCAGCCUGGCUCUGAGUGAAUGGAGCCCAUUGAGCUGAACACAGACACCAGCUGCAUCAGUCACUCGCCUGAACUCCAAACCUGUAUCUACAUCACAGGCUAGAGAUGAAACGCUAGAAAAUUUUAAUCUUAAAAAUGAGUUAAAGGUUGAAAUUUUAUGAAAUUUGAAAAUGUAUAUGUAUAUAUAUAUAUAUAUGUGUGUGUGUGUGUGUGUGUGUAUUAUUAUAUAUUUAUAUUUAUAUAUAUGAUUUUUCGCAUUAGUCUGAACAAAACAGCUGACAGGCUGAAUGAAAAUGUAACUCCAGUGUCUGACAGCAGGUGGCGCUUAUGGAAAAACAGAAAUAGAGCAGUUUCCAUGGUAACCACUGGAAACAAAGCAGGUGCUCAUAAACUGCUUUAUUAGGCUUUUCUGAAGACCUUGUGCAUUCAUGGAAUUCAUUCAUUCAUACAUUCUUUCAUAUAAUUUCUCUCAGUCUGCUUCCCGUGCUGCAUUGUGAACAAGUCAUGGCUGAAGGGCGUAGACAAGUCACAAUGCAGCACGCCUCGAGUAAUAAAAGAGUUAUCACACAAUACAAAUAUUACAACCAUCAAUGUAUGUAUUGAUAUGUUACCUCUUUGAAGUAAAUUAAUUUAAUGCCAUCCUUCCACUAAUAAAUAGUUCCUGAUAGUGACAGUAAAUGGGAAGUGAAUGUUCCAGUGUAACAUGCCUCAUCUUAUGGAGCUCAAAUAGAAACAGAGAAUAGGAACUGUUCUCAUCCGCUGUGUCAUUUAUUUUUUUAACACCAUAUAUGAAAUUUUCUCACACACAGGCCUACAUCUGCUCACCUCUCAGCAUCUGUUUUCUGUGUUUUAGUUUUAAAAAGACCGAUUUGCAGCAUAUGAUGCCAUACUGAUUAUUUGAUUUACUUUAUUUUAUUUAUUUAUAAAUGUUAAUUAUAUUAAUUAUUGUUUAUCUUGCCAAGGGUGAUGUGCAGUGAUACACAAAACCGUUGGAUUCAGCACUCAUGUGCUUUAUCGUGAAGAAAACAGUUUUUCUAAUCAAAUACGGUUUAAAUGAUAAUUGAAAUAUGAAACAGUAAAACUAACCACUAAGACCUUUUACCGUGGUUUACACCAGACCUGCAGAAAUGGUCUGAACAGACCUAAGGGCUGAAGCAUGGGCAUUUUCAAGCACGUUAUGAUUGAAUGAGAUGUGCACAGCCCUAUUGAAGUCACUGAGUCAAAAGCGGACAAAAGGAAUGAUAAAAUAAUCUCAGAUAUCUGGUUGUAGGUGAUGAGGAGUAACUCCAGCCGGAAAAUAACCGGCCAUUACAGCCAAGAUUGUGUGAGCCGCCCAUAGCUUGGAGAGCAGGUAUACUUCAGCAGAAGAGAAAAAGACUUGGAAUCAAAAGACGCCGAGGAUAAAGCAGAAGUUGAACAAUUUCUAACAGAACAGAUGGCACAACGAAGGUCCUCGAGCAAAACUUCUAUCAAUUCCAGAGAGCCAGAAAGGUUUUAUAACAUAGGAGCGGGUCGACAGCUUCUCUUUGAGGUCUGGAAGAGUAAUAAAGGGUUUUAUUGUCUCACUUAGCCAGACAUUUCGGUGUCGCUAUCAAGUCUGGUCCAUCAAAAGUAGGAUGUAUUCCGAUUGCCUGUCAAUAUUUUAAUUGUUCCUCAGCUAUUAAAAGACACUAUCCAGCAAUGUCUUUUCUAUGUCGUUAUGGUGUGGACCCUCAUACAAUUAAGUAGCCUACUUUCACACCAAGGACAAUAACUUUAAGAUACCUGUCCUAUGAUAAUUACUACACCGUUCUUAUUAUUAUUAUAAGCGGGAUGCAGAUAUCUUUGGAAUCACUUUUAGAAAAUGUUUUUUUUUUUUUUUUUUUUUUUUAAUUGAUGAGCUAUAAAACAUUGACAACCAAUCAGAAUGCACCUUACGGUAAGCUAGAGCAUUUAGAUCUACAGGUUUUGCACAUACACAGAACUGAAAACUUCAUUACUUCGAGCGUGUUAAGAAUUUAGACUUGGGAUAUCCAUUAUUAAAUUUAAACCCCCCCAGAAUGAAUCCCAGCUGUGUUUUGCUAGUGGAAUAUUGCCUUAUACAAGCCCUAUGAAAGAAACAUUUGUUCCAGAUUCUUAGGACUCAGCACUAAUAGUUGAGCUCAGAUGUGUUUGCUGUUGUUGGAAGUCUUCUGUACCAGUCAGUCUGGCUCUGCAUGGGAAUGUGGUUACUCUUCUUUGCAGCAUCUCACUUGUCCUGUAACCUGGCUGCAGCAGACUUUCCCUUCCGCUCCAUCUGCAUUUUUGUUGUUGUUCAAAACCAUAAUGUUUUCAUUUACCCUCAAGAAGAAACCAAAGCAUUAACAGUUAAAGCAACAAAAAAUAGCCUGAGCCUUUCCGGGCUUGAGAGUUGCGGGGGCGGACACAUACACAGGGUUAUUUGGCAAACAAAAAAAGAAAACGAUUUUCCUCGAAACUAACUAGUCACGUAUCUGCCAUUGCCAUUAUAUUUGAAACAGCAAUACCAAGAAAGCUUGCUCACUACAAUAUUGUGAAAACACAUGUAACAAUAAUUUGAUAUUAAGUUGUGCUGGUUAGCUUUGUCUGUGACGGGGUACAAGCUGACAUACAAUCUAAAACAUGACAUUUUUGAAAUUGUUUUGCUCAAAAGAAAUAAUGGUAAAUUAAAUACUAGGAAAUGAAUAUAAAAUAGGAAAUAUACAAAGACAGUCUACAACAGAAAACUACAGUUCAGUUCAAACAACAACAAAAACAUUAAAAUGGUCCAAGAACUGGUAACUUAAACAGGGUUUGUACAGAUACUGCAAAAGAAAAUUCCAGGACUUUCAAGGACUUGCACUGCUUUUUUGGUUUUCAAGGACUAAAAUCAUAUCUCCCUCAUUAAUCAAUAUUGCUGUUAUCUUUCAAAUUCUAACAAACUAAUAAAACAAAAUGGUACAAAUAAAGUGCAGCACAUGCAAAGAAUGCAAUGACUGUGGCAACUUUAGCAUUUGAAAGGAUACUUUAGCAUAGUUAUCGCUUUCCUUAUUCAAACUGAUUCUUUUUUUAAUGAAUAUAUGAUUGACCUCAAGAAUGAAAGCUAU
ensembl:lncRNA